AGACAGAGGGUGCAAACGUUGUUCGGAAUCACUGGGCGUAAAGCGAGUGUAGGUUGUCAGGUAAGUAGGAUGUGAAAGCCCGGGGCUCAACCCCGGAAUUGCAUUCUAAACUGCCUGGCUAGAGUCCCGGAGAGGGAGGUGGAAUUCCGAGUGUAGAGGUGAAAGUCGUAGAUAUUCGGAGGAACACCAGAGGCGAAGGCGACCUCCUGGACGGUGACUGACACUGAGACUCGAAAGCGUGGGGAGCAAACAGGAGUAGAAACCCCGGUAGUCC
rnacentral:rRNA from 1 species